UACGAAGGGGGGCUAGCGUUGCUCGGAAUUACUGGGCGUAAAGGGCUCGUAGGUGGCCAACUAAGUCAGACGUGAAAUCCCUCGGCUUAACCGGGGAACUGCGUCUGAUACUGGAUGGCUUGAGUUUGGGAGAGGGACGCGGAAUUCCAGGUGUAGCGGUGAAAUGCGUAGAUAUCUGGAGGAACACCGGUGGCGAAGGCGGCGUCCUGGACCAACACUGACACUGAUGAGCGAAAGCCAGGGGAGCAAACGGG
rnacentral:rRNA from 1 species